rnacentral:rRNA from 1 species
UUCGACACACUAUCAUUAACUGAAUCCAUAGGUUAAUGAGGCGAACCGGGGGAACUGAAACAUCUAAGUACCCCGAGGAAAAGAAAUCAACCGAGAUUCCCCCAGUAGCGGCGAGCGAACGGGGAGGAGCCCAGAGCCUGAAUCAGUGUGUGUGUUAGUGGAAGCGUCUGGAAAGGCGCGCGAUACAGGGUGACAGCCCCGUACACAAAAAUGCACAUGCUGUGAGCUCGAUGAGUAGGGCGGGACACGUGGUAUCCUGUCUGAAUAUGGGGGGACCAUCCUCCAAGGCUAAAUACUCCUGACUGACCGAUAGUGAACCAGUACCGUGAGGGAAAGGCGAAAAGAACCCCGGCGAGGGGAGUGAAAAAGAACCUGAAACCGUGUACGUACAAGCAGUGGGAGCACGCUUAGGCGUGUGACUGCGUACCUUUUGUAUAAUGGGUCAGCGACUUAUAUUCUGUAGCAAGGUUAACCGAAUAGGGGAGCCGAAGGGAAACCGAGUCUUAACUGGGCGUUAAGUUGCAGGGUAUAGACCCGAAACCCGGUGAUCUAGCCAUGGGCAGGUUGAAGGUUGGGUAACACUAACUGGAGGACCGAACCGACUAAUGUUGAAAAAUUAGCGGAUGACUUGUGGCUGGGGGUGAAAGGCCAAUCAAACCGGGAGAUAGCUGGUUCUCCCCGAAAGCUAUUUAGGUAGCGCCUCGUGAAUUCAUCUCCGGGGGUAGAGCACUGUUUCGGCAAGGGGGUCAUCCCGACUUACCAACCCGAUGCAAACUGCGAAUACCGGAGAAUGUUAUCACGGGAGACACACGGCGGGUGCUAACGUCCGUCGUGAAGAGGGAAACAACCCAGACCGCCAGCUAAGGUCCCAAAGUCAUGGUUAAGUGGGAAACGAUGUGGGAAGGCCCAGACAGCCAGGAUGUUGGCUUAGAAGCAGCCAUCAUUUAAAGAAAGCGUAAUAGCUCACUGGUCGAGUCGGCCUGCGCGGAAGAUGUAACGGGGCUAAACCAUGCACCGAAGCUGCGGCAGCGACGCUUAUGCGUUGUUGGGUAGGGGAGCGUUCUGUAAGCCUGUGAAGGUGUACUGUGAGGUAUGCUGGAGGUAUCAGAAGUGCGAAUGCUGACAUAAGUAACGAUAAAGCGGGUGAAAAGCCCGCUCGCCGGAAGACCAAGGGUUCCUGUCCAACGUUAAUCGGGGCAGGGUGAGUCGACCCCUAAGGCGAGGCCGAAAGGCGUAGUCGAUGGGAAACAGGUUAAUAUUCCUGUACUUGGUGUUACUGCGAAGGGGGGACGGAGAAGGCUAUGUUGGCCGGGCGACGGUUGUCCCGGUUUAAGCGUGUAGGCUGGUUUUCCAGGCAAAUCCGGAAAAUCAAGGCUGAGGCGUGAUGACGAGGCACUACGGUGCUGAAGCAACAAAUGCCCUGCUUCCAGGAAAAGCCUCUAAGCAUCAGGUAACAUCAAAUCGUACCCCAAACCGACACAGGUGGUCAGGUAGAGAAUACCAAGGCGCUUGAGAGAACUCGGGUGAAGGAACUAGGCAAAAUGGUGCCGUAACUUCGGGAGAAGGCACG